rnacentral:rRNA from 1 species
UUUGAUUAUAAUUUAAAGUCUGACCUGCCCAAUGAGGAGUUAAAUGGCCGCGGUAAUUUGACCGUGCAAAGGUAGCAUAAUCAUUAGUUUUUUAAUUGAAAGCUGGAAUGAAUGGUUGGACGAGGGGACAACUGUCUCAAUUUAAUUGUAAUAGAAUUUUAAUUUUAAGUCAAAAUGCUUAAAUAGAUUUAAAAGACGAGAAGACCCUAUAGAGUUUUAUAUAAUAUUGUAUAUUUAAGGAUAGGGAUAUAGAGGAUUAUGUAUACAGUUUUAUAUUUUGUUGGGGCGAUAGAAAAAUUAAAGAAACUUUUUUUAUAUUGAUUCAUUAAUGUAUGAGUAAAUGAUCCGUUAUUUACGAUUAUAAGAUUAAAUUACCUUAGGGAUAACAGCGUUAUUUUUUUUGAGAGUUCAAAUCGAAAAAAAAGUUUGCGACCUCGAUGUUGGAUUAAAAUUUAUUUUUGGUGUAGGGGCUAAAAUAUUAGGUCUGUUCGACCUUUGAAAUU